rnacentral:rRNA from 1 species
GACGAACGCUGGCGGCGUGCUUAACACAUGCAAGUCGAGCGGUAAGGCCCUUUCGGGGGUACGACGAGCGGCGAACGGGUGAGUAACACGUGGGUGACCUGCCCUCAGCUCUGGGAUAAGCCUGGGAAACCGGGUCUAAUACCGGAUAUGACUCCAUGACGCAUGUUGUGGGGUGGAAAGCCUUGUGCGGCUGAGGAUGGGCCCGCGGCCUAUCAGCUUGUUGGUGGGGUGAUGGCCUACCAAGGCGACGACGGGUAGCCGGCCUGAGAGGGCGACCGGCCACACUGGGACUGAGACACGGCCCAGACUCCUACGGGAGGCAGCAGUGGGGAAUCUUGCGCAAUGGGGCGAAAGCCUGACGCAGCGACGCCGCGUGAGGGAUGACGGCCUGGUGUAA